UUCACCACCUACUGGCUCCCGUGGGUGAUUGGCUACCUUUGGAUAAUGGCUCACCAGUGGCAGCUGGCCAAUAGAGGGCACUAGGGCCACGUUGUUCAAAUAUUCAUUCUCAGUUAACUUGUAAUCUUUCUGAUAAGAAAUAUUAAAGGGGCCGUAGCAUGGUCACAACAAUUAGCAGCUUUUAUAUGUUAGGGAACAAAGUGACUCAAAGGAAAGGAAACAUGUCAGCUGACAUUUCCAAUGACGACUACAUACAAGACAAGUUAUACUAGGAAAGGAGAGUGUCAGUAAAAUGUGCUGAGUGUAAAGUUGUCAGUCGAGGAAUAACACAGGGCUGUGAAUGAGCCCUGUCACCGUGAUCAGGCUCCUCCUUCUGAUCCACCAACUUAGUGUUGAUGAAGACUCAACAGAGAUCACAGCCUUCUUUAUACUCGCUGUAGCUCACAGUUACUCAACACUGCAGACAUGACGCCUCUGUUCAUCUCGGUGUUGCUGGCUGCUGUGUGCCUCGAAUGCAGAGCACAAAAAGACAACGUGCUGCAAGUAAAAGAUGAUGUGACUUCUAGUGAAGGAGAGGCAGUAACACUUGGCUGUCAAUAUAACAGCAGUUCAACAAGUCCAAAUCUCUUCUGGUACAAACAGGAUAGAGACAACAGCCCCAAAUUCAUAAUGAGCCGCUUUAAACUGGACGAAGGGAACACGCCAGACGAGUUUAAGGAGAGAUUUUCAUCCACACUGGAUUCCACCUUAAGAUCAGUUCCUCUGAAGAUCCACAAGCUUCAACUGUCUGACUCUGCUGUGUACUACUGUGCUGUGACGCCCACAGUGACAGGAAACACCAAGACUCUGUACAAAAACCUUUGGAGCAAAGACAACAGAAUACUCCACAACAUCCACUAGAGGGAGUCACACACUGUUAACCUUCAGUGGUGUACGAUGAUAUAGUCUGGAUUCUUUGCACUGAUGACAGAAAAAUGAAGCCUAAAUAAUAAAACAAAAAUGAAGGAGAGUGUUUUUAUCCCUUGUUGUCAGCAGUUUCAUGUGGGAACAAUGGAGAGAAAAUAGUUCCCACACGAAACUGCUCACAACAAACCUGUGGAUUAUCUUGAGGAC